CUGAAGUGAGUCUUCAUUCAUUGAAGCUUCUUCCCAUUGUGCUGGCUUUGACCGUAUGUAAUGUUGGGGAUUAAACAUGGUUGAGAGAAAUCUUGGCCGUCCCCAACAAAUUAUCUUAUCCUUUAUUAAAUUGAACUGAACUCAUUUUGAGAUUACAUAAAAAAAAUAA
rnacentral:misc_RNA from 1 species